ensembl:lncRNA
UCAAGGAAUUGAAUCGGGCAAUGUCAGAAAAUGAAAACUUAUGUAGCCAUUCUCUUUGGAGCAUGAUCAUUUAAAUAGCAUGUAAAUCUAUUUUUUCCCUGCUGUUUGUAAUAUCAGUAACAUCCUCAGAAGGUGGUACUGAGAGUAGAUCUGAAAUUAGGAAUGUAUAUUGCAUAGGGAAUAUCAUUAACUAUUUGCUAUUUAUCCCAAUCUCGUGGAAAAAAACCUGAACACAGUUAAUACUGACAAACUUGUAGGUAAGAGUUCAAAUCAAAUCCUGAGAGCAACUACUGGACUUUGAAUGAUUUGGAGCAGAGCUUGGAGCAGUAUUUCAUACUCACUUCUUAUAGCCAUAGUGGAUCAAAUCAGAAGUCUGUUUCAUAUUUUCUUUGAAUUAUGUGAGUUCGAAAUCCUGAUCAUAACGUUGCUACUCAGUGGAUAUGUAUUCAUUGGCAUUAGCAUUUCUGAAUGGAUUAACUCAGCCAUUGUGAAAAACAGAUUCUGCAGUUUACUUAAAGAUAAGCAUGAGCAGCGUCAGGUCAAACAUUUUGGAAAUUUCCCAACAGAAAAGGCUCGCUCAUGGAAACUAAAUGUUCUGUAGAAAAGCUGUGAAUUUGAUGAAACUAUUGAAAAGAAGCCAGCAGGCAUUUGACCAAAAUCUUGCUAUUUUUCUGUCAGUUCACCUAUCUUUCUUUCCCCUCCUAGGCAAUAUCAGCCUCCAUGGGCUUGCAGAAGGACUGGGAAAAAGAAAACAACAACAAGCUCCAGACUCCAAGAUACUCAAGCAGCCUGUGGAAAAUGAAAACCAGAGCAAUACUUGUUUCCUAGGAAAAAAUGAACAAAUUAAAAUGAGUGGGGAGGACAGACCCACCUCAGUUUUAGAGUGGAAAGAAAUCCUCAGGAAGCUCUGCUGUGCUCCAUCCCUGACAAAGGCUCUUUAUACUCAACAAGCCUCAGCUACUGGGCAGGAGAUGUUUAUUGUAAUGAAAGACUCUUCAGAAAGUUUGGAACACAAAGAUUUUAUCUUUGUCAGGGGAACACCUAGUGGUUAGUUAACCUUUGAAUAGGACUUCUAAGACAAUGACAACUGCAGGAUUUGGUGCUGUAUGUGGUCUGGAUUUUAUUACAUGAAACACAAGGCAACAUACAGAAUAAACCUCUAAAUUUCUGACAUGGAGAGACUUUGCUUGUCCUUUCCAAAAGAAAGUUGCCUGAAUUUUCUUCACCCUCAUGGCCAGCCACACAUACCUUCUCCUAGCUGAGCUUGGAUACCCUUUGCAGCUGCUCCCAUACUGUCUCAGUUCUUCCAUGUUCACUGUCUGAGAAAGGCAAAAAAGGAGUUUUCAGAAAAAAAAAAAAGGUUUACUCCACAGGUGCAGAGAACCAUGAACUGGCUUAACCCUGGCAGCAGUGCAGAGAUAGCCCUGGUGACCCACAUGCAUUAGCACCAGCACCAGGAGCAGGAGUGCUGCUUCACCACGGUGCUGAACUGACCUCCAAUAUCCCUGCCUUUCUGCACUGUGCAUGACUUCACAGUGAGCUGGUUAAUGUUAGGAUGGGAAUCUUUGCAACACAGUUGGCAUAGAUCAGACAGUAAGCGCUGAGGUUACUUUGGCCCCUCUGAAAGUCUUUAAGUGACCGGAGUGCUUGUGUCUUCUGUGCCCUCAGCAGAGAAGCCGUUGCCUCCAGCUGCAUUUUCACUGUGUGGGAAUUGUUUGAACUCACCACUGUUGCCACAGCUGCUAAAGGAAAACAUGUAGUUAAAGAUGAGGCUGUGCAUACAUUAUAGAUAUAGGCAUAUGGUUGUCAAGCUGCUGCCCAACAGCUUCCAUAGUUAUAUGGCACCUUAUGUUAUCCAAAGCACUUGAAAUUUUUUAGAUAACAAAAGCAAACCAAGACAGCUAUUAUGGCUUUGUGCUGCACUUGCUUCCUGAUAGAGUUGCCAAUCCAGUACUUUGAAUUCUGUGCCAGCAGCUUUGACACAAGUGAAAGAGCAAGCUGUGCUUUUAACAGAUGCAAAUGCUUUAGUUGCAGUGAUCAUUGCUUUCUCAAAAUCAUUAUCACAUAUGUGGGAUUUCAUAUUCAUACUUUUUCAAAGCAGCAACGUUCAGAUGAUUAGAGCAACAUUUUCUUAGCACCAGUAGAUUUUUAAGGAGCAUAAGCAACUGACAUUAUCUUGACUCAAGCAAGCAUUUUACUGUCCCACCAGUGCUUCUGCUGAACAGACACACAACACAUGGUUGGCACUGUUGGAAAUCUUGCAUAGUGCCACCACUGUGCCAUACCAGCAAUGAGCCAUACUGAUGGAUUUCUAGGAAUCUGCAGUCUUCUCUGAUUACAGGGGAAUAAGGACAAACAAAACAGUGUUAAGCCAGCAUUAAGUUACUGGCUUAGAUAUUCUCGAUUUGAGAAUAGCUC